GCACUGCUGAGGAGUCCCAUACUAGGACGAAACGGCCUUCCAGUUC
rfam:Schistosoma haematobium scaffold9_50, whole genome shotgun sequence.